UAUUUUGCAGAAAUAUAUAUAUAUAACAUAUUCACCAAAAGAAAUGUUGAAAUAAAAUAUAAAAUUACACGAUUUUUGUUUUGUUAUUUUUUUAUUUAUAUUUACUUUACCACUGAAUGAUUUUUCAUAAGAAACACAGUCGACAAAACUUAAGCUUCAAAAUUAUACGACCUUCAACCUUUAAAUCUAGUCAUAUGACAUAAUUUUUCGCCAUCCGUAUAAUGAAUCAGCUGAUUGAUGGCGUCAUAAAAUGACAAACUUAUUGCGUCAUUUCCCCCAUUUUUUUGACGAUUUAUUAUAAACGCGACUUACUUCACAUGUUUUCUACAUGUCGAGGGGUGAACGGAAGACUGUUGUAACUCAUAUUAUAUUAAGAAGGAGAUACUGCAGUUUUCCGUUCAGCCCUCGAUGUACUGUAUGUCGACAUAUCUGAAUUGUCAAUUGAUCACAUUUUCCUUAUUUCGUGUAAUGUGCAUUGUUUAUAACCAAAGCAUAUACUUUUGACAUUUAACUUAAAUAUUCAGAAUGUACAACAAGCCAUACACAUAUCGCAAAGUUCAUGAAUAAUCUGCUAUGUUUGCUUUCCUAUUUAAUUCACGUUAGGCAUAGAGCUGUGUAAAGUAUAAGAUGGUAAAAAUAGCACCACACUGGAAUUUGGAACGUCCCAUUUUGUACACGGGUAUUUCCUACUCAUUUAUCUGUUGUGUACUGGAAUGUUUUCCAUUCUUUGUGUAUUUAUAUAUUAAAUUAUUUUCUCGUACAAUAAGGGCUUUUACCAUAGAUAUAUAAAACAUUGUGCAAGUUUAAACAUAAUUAUGUUUGUAUGCAGAAAUCUGCAAAUGCAACCGAGUUUACCAACGGCUAUUAUUAGAUAAACUGCUCCGGUUCAUUUGAACAGCAGUAAUGUAGAGUACAUGACGUAGCGUGUGACGAAGAAGAAAGUUUAUCGCGUUCAUAAACUCAUUUGAAUAAAGUGAUAGAAUGGCAUAAGGGUCAUUAUUUAACUAUGCUAAAAUAAUUAUUAAAGACCCUAGAUGCAAUAUCGUCAAUUAUUGAGUUAAAUGGAUUAUUAGAUGGAUUUUAAAGGAUUAUUAAAGAAAAAGGAACGUGAGAAAUCGAAAGCAAAGCUUGUAUUAUUGGACAAAGACUUUGAGAGUGAGAAAGGUGAGUUAGUGAAACGAAAGGACAACGAGAUUCAUGAGCUGAAGCAGCACCUUGAAGCAGCCCAGAACAAUGCAAGUCAGCAGGAGAUACAGACCCAGGCACACAAACAAGUGCUAGACAAAACUCAACUUGGAAAAAGAGGCUUUUGAGUUUGAGCGCGAAAAACUGGAAAAGCAACUGAAGCGCUUGGAAAACGAGCGUGAAACGAGCCAAUGGUGUGCUGAUAACAGCAAGGGUGGAGGCAGUCAUAGCAGAGGAGAACUACAACACAGCCAUUCAGGAGAAGCAGAAAAUCACAUAUGAGCUGACAGACAUGACAGAGGACAAGGAGCGGCUGGAGAAACAGCUCACUGUGGUAACCAUGGGGCUGGAUCUACAUUCCUUCAUACGGUAGUCUUUAAUCCGGGUUGUUAUUUUAUCUGAACAA